rnacentral:guide_RNA from 1 species
AUAUAUAUAAUCAAACACAAUUGAUGAGGUGUCGAUGUAAACAAAUAAUGUAU